rnacentral:rRNA from 1 species
AUUGAACGCUGGCGGCAGGCCUAACACAUGCAAGUCGAACGAGUGGCGGACGGGUGAGUAAUGUCUGGGAAACUGCCUGAUGGAGGGGGAUAACUACUGGAAACGGUAGCUAAUACCGCAUACCAUCGGAUGUGCCCAGAUGGGCUUAGCUAGUGGGUGGGGUAAAGGCUCACCUAGGCGACGAUCCCUAGCUGGUCUGAGAGGAUGACCGGCCACACUGGAACUGGAACACGGUCCAUACUCCUACGGGAGGCAGCAGGGGGGAAUAGUGCACAAUGGGCGCAAGCCUGAUGCAGCCAUGCCGCGUGUAUGAAGAAGGCCUUCGGGUUGUAAAGUCCUUUCAGCGGGGAGGCGUUACCCGCAGAAGAAGCACCGGCUAACUCCGUGCCAGCAGCCGCGGUAAUUC